UAGAGUUUGAUCAUGGCUCAGAUUGAACGCUGGCGGCAGGCCUAACACAUGCAAGUCGAACGGUAGCACAGAGGAGCUUGCUCCUUGGGUGACGAGUGGCGGACGGGUGAGUAAUGCCUGGGAAACUGCCCGAUGGAGGGGGAUAACUACUGGAAACGGUAGCUAAUACCGCAUAACGUCUUCGGACCAAAGUGGGGGACCUUCGGGCCUCACACCAUCGGAUGUGCCCAGGUGGGAUUAGCUAGUAGGUGGGGUAAUGGCUCACCUAGGCGACGAUCCCUAGCUGGUCUGAGAGGAUGACCAGCCACACUGGAACUGAGACACGGUCCAGACUCCUACGGGAGGCAGCAGUGGGGAAUAUUGCACAAUGGGCGCAAGCCUGAUGCAGCCAUGCCGCGUGUAUGAAGAAGGCCUUCGGGUUGUAAAGUACUUUCAGUGGGGAGGAAGGCGAUGAGGUUAAUAGCUUCGUCGAUUGACGUACCCG
rnacentral:rRNA from 1 species